rnacentral:rRNA from 1 species
GAUGAACGCUGGCGGCGUGCCUAAUACAUGCAAGUCGAGCGAACAGACGAGGAGCUUGCUCCUCUGACGUUAGCGGCGGACGGGUGAGUAACACGUGGAUAACCUACUUAUAAGACUGGGAUAACUUCGGGAAACCGGAGCUAAUACCGGAUAAUAUAUUGAACCGCAUGGUUCAAUAGUGAAAUACGGUUUUGCUGUCACUUAUAGAUGGAUCCGCGCCGCAUUAGCUAGUUGGUAAGGUAACGGCUUACCAAGGCAACGAUGCGUAGCCGACCUGAGAGGGUGAUCGGCCACACUGGAACUGAGACACGGUCCAGACUCCUACGGGAGGCAGCAGUAGGGAAUCUUCCGCAAUGGGCGAAAGCCUGACGGAGCAACGCCGCGUGAGUGAUGAAGGUCUUCGGAUCGUAAAACUCUGUUAUUAGGGAAGAACAAAUGUGUAAGUAACUAUGCACGUCUUGACGGUACCUAAUCAGAAAGCCACGGCUAACUACGUG